UGGGGAAUAUUGGACAAUGGGCGAAAGCCUGAUCCAGCCAUGCCGCGUGUGUGAAGAAGGUCUUCGGAUUGUAAAGCACUUUAAGUUGGGAGGAAGGGCAGUAAAUUAAUACUUUGCUGUUUUGACGUUACCGACAGAAUAAGCACCGGCUAACUCUGUGCCAGCAGCCGCGGUAAUACAGAGGGUGCAAGCGUUAAUCGGAAUUACUGGGCGUAAAGCGCGCGUAGGUGGUUCGUUAAGUUGUAUGAUACCCCGGGCUCAACCUGGGAACUGCAUUCAAAACUGACGAGCUAGAGUAUGGUAGAGGGUGGUGGAAUUUCCUGUGUAGCGGUGAAAUGCGUAGAUAUAGGAAGGAACACCAGUGGCGAAGGCGACCACCUGGACUGAUACUGACACUGAGGUGCGAAAGCGUGGGGAGCAAACA
rnacentral:rRNA from 1 species